rnacentral:rRNA from 1 species
AGCCCAGACUCCUACGGGAGGCAGCAGUGGGGAAUAUUGCACAAUGGGGGAAACCCUGAUGCAUCGACGCCGCGUGAGCGAUGAAGUAUUUCGGUAUGUAAAGCUCUAUCAGCAGGGAAGAAAAUGACGGUACCUGACUAAGAAGCCCCGGCUAACUACGUGCCAGCAGCCGCGGUAAUACGUAGGGGGCAAGCGUUAUCCGGAUUUACUGGGUGUAAAGGGAGCGUAGACGGCUGUGCAAGCCAGAUGUGAAAGCCCGGGGCUCAACCCCGGGACUGCAUUUGGAACUGUGUGGCUGGAGUGUCGGAGAGGCAGGCGGAAUUCCUAGUGUAGCGGUGAAAUGCGUAGAUAUUAGGAAGAACACCAGUGGCGAAGGCGGCUUGCUGGACAGUAACUGACGUUGAGGCUCGAAAGCGUGGGGAGCAAACAGGAUUAGAUCCCCGCGUA